ACUGUGUACUUUAUUUCACCGAUCUUAUACAUUACAGUGACAUAACAAAUAAUAAUUUUCAAAAGAAUCACGAAAACUGAAAUUACUUAUGUGAACAAGCAAACGUAUGCGUCAUAUUUCUGCGCUGAUAACUACAUCUGUGCUCACAUACUAGCCUAAAAUCAUAUAUCAGCUUUUACAUUAGGUUGUUUUCUUCAAAAUGAGAGCAUUCUCGUGUGUCUGUGAGCAUGCAUGGCUAAACGGCACGAUAAUAUGUCUCAGAUGCGCAGAUCAAAACAUGCAAUGCAGCGUAAACCAUGACCAGUAUUUUAGACGGUGGGCCGAGGGUCCGUAUCUGCUUUACUUUUCGAAAUGAAUGAUCCCCAUGGAGGGAGAACCUGGAUUUGUAAAGUUGGGACGGUUGUUUUAUUCUCAACGAUAUGAAAAGUGUUGCCACUCCCAUUUAUUGCACAUUUUCCCCGAAAUCAUAAUGCACGAUCCGUAAAUAUGCAGGCAAACGCGGUUGCCUACUAUAUUAGUUGAGCCAAUAGCGCGGCAAGAUACUGACAUGGGAUUAUUACUAUCCAAUCAGAUGUAGUUUAUUUAGAACAGCUGUUACACGAAUGAUUCCGCUAUCAGACACAAGCACCAGCGGUGCACUGAUCGUCAAGGACAUUCUUUGUGUGAUUUGCACAAGUUCCAGUAUGGCCUCUGGAGCUGGCGGAAGAGUCAUCCAGUCUACUCCGUAGAAAUCUCCUACCAUUUUCCAGCCAUGAUUUACAGGAGGAGGAAUGUCUGGCAUGCACUCAAGACACCUCCUGUGUACUGCAGCCUGAUAGCUUGCCCGCUGGAUGUGUUUAUGCAAGGAGUCUUUGUUUGGAGGCAAGUCUCUCUCAGAACAUUUACCUGAUUUGAACAGGUUGGCCCUUGCAAUAUUGACAUCUUGGCAGUCCUUCUGAUCAUAUAGAUCACACGUGUAAGCUUCCAGAGCCUCAAAUAGUUCUGGUGAUGGGGUGAAACUUGUUCCUAGUUCUCUAAACAUGGUGACGUAUUCUGUUUUUGAACUUAGUUUUUUGUAUGCUUUUUCUUUUCCAACCUUAUGCAGAGCACUCACUGUGUCACAUCCAGAAAAGGCAUGCAGACCUACAAGGGCAUCACAUUUGUCUUCGCCAAGAUGGCCAUGUAGCUUGGUAAUAUCAGUAAUGUGUGUGUCUCUCCCCUUGGCUGUAUGGAAAUGGAGGUGGCCAUCAAUGUGGCUGCAGAAAGCUAGAGCCAGCACAAAGACAUCGGUGUCUGGGCUCUUGAUUACCAGGUCAUGGCUGUGUUUGGCUGCAUGGGCUGCAUGCAGAAUCAUUCUGGUGUCUGCCUCCUCUUGACUUGUCUCUAGGUCUUUGAGUUCCAGUAUCUCAAGGUCAGUAUUGCUCACAUUCAUCUUAAUGGCGUGACACUUGCUUCCAUGUGCAACAAUGAUGGUUAUAUUGCCAAUUAUAUUCUUUGCAGUUAAGCUCCAAUGUUGGAAGAAAUACUCCAGUAAGUUUUCUUUAUUUUGGCCACAUGCCAGAAAUUUUUUCCACUGCUUUGGGGUUUUUUGGUCAUCUCCAUAGAUUUUGAUUUUUUGGUAGCCCUGUUCUGCGCGCCGACUACGCUCAGCAUUUUUGAUGCUCAGGUCGCUGUAUGUAUCACAUACAAAAUGAAGCUCUGUUGACCUUGUUGCCUUAGCUGAGUGAACUAAUGUGUUCAGUACAUGAUCCGCAUACAACCCAAAUGUUGGCUGUGGCUUUAGUUGUUGCACCAGAGCCAUAGCAUCCCAAAUCCAAACUGAGCCAUCAGGAAUGUCACUCACUGUUGCAGGCGGGUGGAUCUCAUCUAGCAAGAUGUGCAUCAGCUUAGCUUUGUUGGUUUUGACCAGAGAGCCAUCAAAGUUGGAAAUUGACUGUGGAAAAGGACCCAAACUGUAAGUGAGCAUUUCAUUGAUGUUAAUUUGCCUAACCCCGCCCACAACAAUUAGCCUUGCAAACAAGUUGCGAUGUGAUGUCAGGGUAAUUUCUUUUCCUCUAAUUUUUGUGACUGUACUUUGUCCAUUGUCUUUAAAUGUUUUUAUUUUCAUUUUCUUUAUAGGGUCAUGGAAUGAUGCUUGGCCAUGGACUAUCCUUUUUUCACAGAAUUCAGUGAGUGCCUUAACACCUCUUUGUUUAGCCCCUAGUAAGUCUGUGGCAACAUUUUCUGAUGCCUGUUGGCCAGAAGAGAUGUGACAAAGAGAAUCUCCAUCCAGCAAUGGGUCAAAAGGGUUAACCAUAUUUUGGAUAGUGGCCACAAUGUUCAUCACAUCAGCCUGAUCUCUCUGCAUUCUGGUGUUGUCUAGCUCAGAGUUAAGAUGUCCUACCGGGCACUUUCCUGCCAUUGUUUUGCAUUCAAAAGUGAUUGCUGCCCGCUCAUGUUGUGUUAGGGUCCAGCGGUGAACUGCACCCUUGUUCAGAGAGAACCCACUGAUGCCUCCCUUUGUCUUGGAGUCACGAUUGGCUGUUUGCUCAAUGACUUGAUCACAUGCUGUGCCGGCGAAACCAUGACUUUGAUGUCUUUGUGCCACAAAGUCACCUGAAAGAAGCUGCUGGUGUGCUGAAGGGUGUGUGUCUUCCAGGUUGGUCAUUUCAGCCCAAUAUGCCGUCAAAUACCUUGCAUAAUUUACUUUGUCACAGGCAAAAAACCAGGGCAGCAUACUUUGCACAGUGGACAAAUGGAGAGCCCAGUUCCCCUCUCUUGUUGCCCUGAUGAAAAGAAGCAAAUCUUCCAUCAUGUCAAGGUAUGUGCUCCAAAAUGCAAAUGUGUGGUUACAGUUGUUUUUCACCACAAAUUCUUCAUAACCUUGCAGUAACUGCUGAAAUGUGUCUGAUGUUAGCAUGCCCUUGAACUCUUCAGAGGGAAAACACUCCUGCAGAUCUGUUGCCACUUUUAAAGCAGCGGCAUUUUGUUCUUGUGUGAGUGUAUCCAAGUAUGCCCACCAUCGUAGUUUCUGGAGUGCUUCCAUCAGGAGUUUGUGAGCCCGUAUGCUCCUGUUGUAGUGAUGGCCGGAGAUCACUCCAUCGAUUGAGCCUGCGGCCACCAGGUCAGACUCAAUCAAGAUGUCCUGAAAGCCUGCAUCACCAUACAACUUUCCUAUGCAUGACAGAUACGCCAUUGCUGUGUGGAACUCUCCCAUCCUCACUACGAUUCUCUCAGACUGUCAGCAAUGGCAAUGGAGCGGCUCAGGAUGGUGUGGACAGUGUUGAGAUCAGUCGGACUGGCGUCAAUCACUGGGAGGUAGCCAAUAUGUGUAGAUGGUGGUAGUACUGUGUCUUCCUUCAACAUUAUAUUAUACCCUGUCCAUCCAGGAAGGAUUUUGUGCUGGGCCUCAGGUACUUUCAGUAAAAAGAAUGCAGCAUCAAUUCUUCUACCGGUAGUUUGGGCAUAUCUGUAUUGGUCCUGAUGGAGAUCAAUCUUCAAUGCAAAGUUCUGUGGACCAGACCGCUUGCCUCUUGUGUAUGUUGAAAGAUUCAGUGGAGGAGGAUGAACCGACCGCUCUCGUGUUCUCUGUCUGGGUAAUGUGUCUGGUAAGGAUGCUGUAUAACUAUUUAUGGCCCUCUGAAUUAUUAUACCAUUGGUGUUAUGUGUUGUCCCUUUACCUGAAAGAGUCUCCUCUCCAAAGUCAUUAUUGUCCCAGACAAGAGUCACAGGCACUUCAUCACUGAUUUUUUCAGGGAUGUAUACUUCUCCCCUCUCCAUUUGUAGAUGAGCAAGGGCAGUAUCAUGCUCAAGGACCUGGGAAUUAGAUGAGCAGUGACCCAGACCAUUUAACAGCCCUAUAAGCUGUGCAGAGCCAGUCAUAUGCCGAACUGCCAUUGCAAGUGAGCACUGUUUAGGCAUGAGCCACCUUCCUCUGGUUGCCAGGGUAAUAAUGUCCUGACAAGUGGACACUAUCUUUCUGUUGUCCUCUGAAGUGACAUCAACACGUUCAUCUGAUGGUUGUGAUGACAUUCCUGAUAUCCAUGCAAUGAAGUUAAAAAGUUGGUGAGGCACUACACUCAUGCCAUUUUCCAGUGUGAGAUCACUUGCUGUUGGAGGCCAUGGUAGCUUUGGGUAUAUUUUUGAUGUAUUUUGAAUUAUUUCUUUAAGUCUCAUUGCUGCGUGAUAUAACUCCCGAGAAUCAUCCGUGGUGUUGGUGGCAUUUUCUAUAUUUCCUUGACUUGUCAUUUCUCCUUCACUUUCUUCAGAUGAGGAGGAAGCAGAGGAGAAGGCAACUUCAUGCACAAUCUCGUCAGCUGACAGAUUGUCCACAUAUACAAGGUAGGUUGUGGAUGCCUUCAGGAACUUCAAGAAGGGAUAAGACUUGUGAAGUCUUGACUUUAGUGAGUGUGCCUUAUAAGCUGCAAUGUUCACUCCCUCUGUUUCUUCCACAGAUUUUUUGAAAAGCAAAUUCAGCUUUGACAGUCGAAGUACUUCGCGUUGUUUUAACAGCCUCUCCUCAAUGACUGUUUUGCAGAAGUGCUUGUAUCCAUUUUCAUAUAUGUUUGUUUCUGUUCUCUCAAUUUUGUUUGUGGUCAGAUACCGGGUAUAAUCUCGAUAGCAAGUGAAGUGAUACCGUGCUUCACUAGCCACCAAGUCCCUGUCUUGGAUAUGGAGAAGGAGAGACUCGUCCCUUUUCUCUUCAGCGGCGAGUAGCAAUUUCCCGGCAUGGAGUGUUUCACACUGUGUUAGCUUUUCUUUUACCCUUUUCCUGCUGUGUGACUGAACCUUGUACUUCUCAUGUUUGCAUAUAAUGCAUUGUACUGGAAGCAGGUGUGGGGCCCGCUUGGACGUGCAGGAAUCACGGGCGUAAGAUCUCAGAGCCCGUGUUUUAACUGGAGUUGCCUCACCAUCCUCUGCCUCUACCACUAAAAGUGCAAAACAAUAGAUUUAGGUUCUGCACCCUUCCCCACAUCACUGAUUAAAGAAAAAUGGUUUGUAACUUUCAGCAGGGUAUAUUGGUUCCACCUGUUCCCUUAACAAGGGUAAUAAACCUGUUUCACAGCU